rnacentral:ncRNA from 1 species
AUUCUGGUUGAUCCUACCAGUAAUAUACGCUCGUCUCAAAGGUUAAACCAUGCAUGUCUAAGUACAAACUACAAUAAAGUGAAACCGCAAAAGGCUC